UCGAGAAUCUUCGGCAAUGGGCGCAAGCCUGACCGAGCGACGCCGCGUGCGAGAUGAAGGCCUUCGGGUUGUAAAUCGCUGUCAGAGGGGAGGAAAUGCCGGUGGGUUCUCCCAUCGGUUUGACCUAUCCUCAGAGGAAGGACGGGCUAAGUUCGUGCCAGCAGCCGCGGUAAGACGAACCGUCCAAACGUUAUUCGGAAUCACUGGGCUUAAAGUGUGCGUAGGCGGUCCGGGAAGUUGGGUGUGAAAGCCCUCAGCUCAACUGAGGAAUUGCGCCCAAAACUGCCGGACUUGAGGGAGACAGAGGUGAGCGGAACUUAGGGUGGAGCGGUGAAAUGCGUUGAUAUCCUAAGGAACACCAGUAGCGAAAGCGGCUCACUGGGUCUUUUCUGACGCUGAUGCACGAAAGCUAGGGGAGCGAAGA
rnacentral:rRNA from 1 species